CUCCCUCCGCCACUGCUCCCAUCAUCUUAUCCCUUCCCCUCCACUAUCCCUCCUCCGCACGCCCACUGUCCCGGCGGCCCCUCCUUCCUCCACCUUCCCACCUGCUCCCACCCGAGGCUCUGCUCUAGCGAGUUCGACGGAGUCCUCAUCCAUAGGCACAGUGGCGGCGGCAUCUUGGGCGCACGCAGAUCUGGCACGGAGGUCAACCCCGACGUCGGCCUUGUUGGAGCGGAGCGUCCAUGCAGUGGCCGGUUUACUGCGACAGCUCGCUACACGGCUGGAAGCAGCAGAGAACCCUAGUCGCCACUGGUUACCAGCGUGACUCUCACCUCUCCUGCUGGCUUCCUCGAUGUCGUGGCCUUGUGCUGCUGCGGCCUGUGCUGCUGCGCGACUGUCGGCCAGGUUCUUUUGCAGGAUCGAGACUGACGCUGUGGUCGUGGAUCCGUGCAAAGUAAGGGUACUUCGCGUCCCUCUCUCUGGUGUACUGGCGCACACAUCCCUCUGGCGGCUGGUGCCAGAAGCUAGCACAAAACAGCACGACAGGAACAACGGACGUUCAUCUGCCUCGAGUUCCGCCCGAGCCACCAUGGGAGGCAUGACUACCCCAGCCUCCAUGGGUAACUAGCGUUGCUCCUGCAAUUCUGUUGUGGGUAUGCUAUUUGUUGCCUAAAUUAAAGUACACAUAGGGCUGUGACUUGAUCAUGCUGUAACCACUGGGUAAUGUGAAUUGAAUGGAUAAAUGCUAUAUUGGACCAUAUGGUUUGAGCACUGCAACAAAUCUGAAUGGUUUCACAAGACUCUUUCACAAUUAUGCGCACCAACUGUUUAAUUGCUAUAAUAUAAUGCAAUGAAUAAUAACUAUUACAUCAUUUUAUGCCAACUAUUUACUUAUGGAACUGAUAAUUGAUUAUGUCAGUACUACGUUUAUUUAGUGGAAUAUGAAACUACCUAAUGAAGUCUCAGUUUUUCUUUCCUUUUCUUGCCUAAUUUUCAUAGAGGUUUGUUCUGUGUAACUUGAUCUCAGCUUUCAAAUCAAUAUUGAACAUAUGAAACACCUACAAUUAUCCACUACAAUUUUGCGUUGAGAUUAACACCCUAGCAUGUCCUGAGAUUCACAAUACAUUAACAUGCUAACAUAUCUUGAGGUUUAGCCUGUGUUACCAUGACAUUUAGUUUCUCUUAUAUAUGCAAGAAGUAUAUAUGCAGUUAGUUAUUUUCAUGUCUUUUGGAAUAUUAUCAAUUUGUCUACCUGUCCUUUUGCAAGUGCAUUUCUCUGCAAAUGCUUCUCUAUUAUCCAUGGGAAUGGAGCUGAAUAUGUGAAAGCUUUAAAGCUUGCGCUCAUUAGUGUAAAUUUCUGCCCUUCUUUUCUCUACAUUCAUGUACUGCUGUUCUGUAAUUCAAUAAUUACCAUAGAACUAAUAAACUUGGAGCACCAACGUAUAUAGUUCUCUUUCUAAAUGUAAUUUUCAUUACGCCUGGUAAAGAAUUGUGUUGUUCCUUUAUAGAGUUAUAAUCCACACGAGAAAGGCUUCUGCAUUUUUAAGGCUGCUUUUUCUCCCAAACAUAUAUCGGCUUAUUGUUUUAACCCUCUUUAUUAUGUUAAUUUCGUACAGCCAAUUCACAUUGUUUGACUGAUAAAUCAUAACUUAAUAUUUAAAAGAUGUAUUGCUUGUUAAAUAUACAAGUAUUCGACUUAUUGGUGCUGAAUUGCUAUUGUACUGAAAUGUUGUUGCUCAAAUAUUGUUGUUGUUUGCUAUUGUACUGAAAUGAUGUUGCUGAAAUAUUGUUGUUGUUUGCUACAUAAACAUACUAUAAUGCCUUUAAAAAAUUGUUGUUGUUUGCUGUUGUCGAGAAACGACGCUGCUGUAAUACUUACCCGUUUUUUAUUUAAAUACUAUAGUUAAGGAUUAUUGUGUUGAACCAUUUCCUCGAGAAUAUUUUGUUAUUUAUGGAAGCAUAGGUCUCAAAAAACACAAACAGUGUGAAUCUAAUUAGUUUGCCCAUGUUCCUUUUUUUAGUGCAGUUAAAUAUCUAUCAUGGAAUUGUCAAAGAAAAUGCGGCUUUGUCUGAUGAUGAAGAAAGAGAACUGGACCAAGGAAGAGAUGGAAAAAAAAAGAGAAGUGUUGACUACGCUACGAUCAUCUUUAUUUUUAUGUAUAUUUUUUGUUGCCUUGUAGUUAUCUAUGAUUUUGAUGUAAUUUGUGAUACAUUCAUGUGAUGAAUGCAUGGUCUGAUAUAGCAAGAGUUUAUGAUACAUCGUUGUGCCUUUGUGAUCA